GCGCCCAUAGCUCAGUGGAUAGAGCAGCAGUCUUCGGAACUGAAGGUCGGGGGUUCGAAUCCCUCUGGGCGCA
rnacentral:tRNA from 1 species